rnacentral:rRNA from 1 species
UACGUAGGGUGCGAGCGUUAAUCGGAAUUACUGGGCGUAAAGCGUGCGCAGGCGGUUUUGUAAGCCAGAUGUGAAAUCCCCGGGCUUAACCUGGGAAUGGCAUUUGGGACUGCAAGGCUGGAGUUUGGCAGAGGAGACUGGAAUUCCUGGUGUAGCAGUGAAAUGCGUAGAUAUCAGGAGGAACACCGAUGGCGAAGGCAGGUCUCUGGGCCGAUACUGACGCUGAGGAGCGAAAGCGUGGGGAGCGAACAGG